CACAAUGGGAUUAGUGCCCUUAUAAGAAGAGACUCCAGGGCUUCCUCUCUACCACAUGAGGACAGAGUGAGAAGAUGGCUGUCUGCAACUGCCCUAAGGGCCAUCACAAGAACUCAACCGUGCAGGUCUUGAUCUCAGACUUCCAGCCUCCAGAACUGGGAAACGCCAUGUGAAGAUUAUGGAUUUCUGCUGCCACAAGCCAAGUAACUACCAGAAGCCAGGAGAGAGGGCUGGAGCAAGGGAGCCUGGCCCUGACGACACCUUGAUCUCAGACUUCGGGCCUCCAUAAUUGCACGAGCCACCAUGCCCGACCAGGACCGGUGUUCUUAUAAGAAGAGAGAGACAUCAGGAAUGGGUGUGUACAGAGAAAAGGACACAGCAAGAUGGUGGCCAUUUGCAAGCCAAGGAGAGAGACCUCAGGAGAAACCAACCCGCCAGCACCUUGAUCUUAGACUUCCAGUCUCCAAAAUUGGGAGAAAAUAAACGUUUGUUGUUUAAGA